rnacentral:rRNA from 1 species
CAGGCUUAACACAUGCAAGUCGAGGGGCAGCAUGGUCUUAGCUUGCUAAGGCCGAUGGCGACCGGCGCACGGGUGAGUAACACGUAUCCAACCUGCCGUCUACUCUUGGACAGCCUUCUGAAAGGAAGAUUAAUACAAGAUGGCAUCAUGAGUCCGCAUGUUCACAUGAUUAAAGGUAUUCCGGUAGACGAUGGGGAUGCGUUCCAUUAGAUAGUAGGCGGGGUAACGGCCCACCUAGUCUUCGAUGGAUAGGGGUUCUGAGAGGAAGGUCCCCCACAUUGGAACUGAGACACGGUCCAAACUCCUACGGGAGGCAGCAGUGAGGAAUAUUGGUCAAUGGGCGAGAGCCUGAACCAGCCAAGUAGCGUGAAGGAUGACUGCCCUAUGGGUUGUAAACUUCUUUUAUAAAGGAAUAAAGUCGGGUAUGGAUACCCGUUUGCAUGUACUUUAUGAAUAAGGAUCGGCUAACUCCGUGCCAGCAGCCGCGGUAAUACGGAGGAUCCGAGCGUUAUCCGGAUUUAUUGGGUUUAAAGGGAGCGUAGAUGGAUGUUUAAGUCAGUUGUGAAAGUUUGCGGCUCAACCGUAAAAUUGCAGUUGAUACUGGAUAUCUUGAGUGCAGUUGAGGCAGGCGGAAUUCGUGGUGUAGCGGUGAAAUGCUUAGAUAUCACGAAGAACUCCGAUUGCGAAGGCAGCCUGCUAAGCUGCAACUGACAUUGAGGCUCGAAAGUGUGGGUAUCAAACAGGAUUAGAUACCCUGGUAGUCCACACGGUAAACGAUGAAUACUCGCUGUUUGCGAUAUACAGCAAGCGGCCAAGCGAAAGCGUUAAGUAUUCCACCUGGGGAGUACGCCGGCAACGGUGAAACUCAAAGGAAUUGACGGGGGCCCGCACAAGCGGAGGAACAUGUGGUUUAAUUCGAUGAUACGCGAGGAACCUUACCCGGGCUUAAAUUGCAGAUGAAUUACGGUGAAAGCCGUAAGCCGCAAGGCAUCUGUGAAGGUGCUGCAUGGUUGUCGUCAGCUCGUGCCGUGAGGUGUCGGCUUAAGUGCCAUAACGAGCGCAACCCUUGUUGUCAGUUACUAACAGGUUCCGCUGAGGACUCUGACAAGACUGCCAUCGUAAGAUGUGAGGAAGGUGGGGAUGACGUCAAAUCAGCACGGCCCUUACGUCCGGGGCUACACACGUGUUACAAUGGGGGGUACAGAGGGCCGCUACCACGCGAGUGGAUGCCAAUCCCCAAAACCUCUCUCAGUUCGGACUGGAGUCUGCAACCCGACUCCACGAAGCUGGAUUCGCUAGUAAUCGCGCAUCAGCCACGGCGCGGUGAAUACGUUCCCGGGCCUUGUACACACCGCCCGUCAAGCCAUGGGAGCCGGGGGUACCUGAAGUGCGUAACCGCGAGGAGCGCCCUAGGGUAAAACUGGUGACUG